GAUGCGGAACUUUUCGCUCCAAAUAAGCAAAAUCCCCAAACUCCAACUCAGACCAAAAUCCCCAAAUUGACCACCCUAACCUAGCCUCCUCCCCGAGCACACGCCGCCGCCCCCACCCUACGCGGCUGCCAACCACCCUUCGCCACACUCCAGUGCCAGCUUCCUCCCCGACCACGCGCCGACCACCGUCCGCCACACCACUGCAACUCCUCCCGGACCAUGCCGCCGAGCACCCUCCGCCGCCCCGACCACCAAUUGCCGGACCUCCAGCAACGCCCAAGCAGCCAAGCCUCCUACACGGUCCUCCGCCAGGCUCCUCUAGGCUCGAGUUGCUCAAGUGUUUCAGCGGAAGGAUCUGUUCGAGUGAGGAUGUCCACAAGGAUGACGUCUAACUUCCACCAGAUCUGGCAUGAAACGAGGAUCCCCAAGCGACUCGUAGAUGCGAAGGAAAAUUGAGCAAGGUUCCGCCUCCCAUGGUUGAGCAAUCGUAAGGGUUAUGUUGUCUCUCCAUGUUGCUGGUUAUAUGAGCCCAACUAAUAUUUGCUUCCUGUGAUCUAGGGAAGGAUAAAAUUGAUGAUUCCUACCUGCCAUACUCAUCUAUUUCUGUUUUCAGUUGACAUUCCUACUGUACGAAUUACAGUCUUUGGUACAUUCACUUAUCCCUUCAAAUUUGACAAGCAUGGAAGAAUCUGAAUAUCACUUAUCCCUCUCCCGUUAUUAUUUAGCAUAUGCUAACUGACUGCUGUGUUUAUGCUUAUAUCCUUCGGUUAUAGUUUAUAACAAACCAAAUUAAGGAUUUUGUGUUCAUCUCUGAAACUUCAUAAUGAUGGUUGGUAUUUAAUCUUUCAAAGGAAUGCAGCAAGCUGUUGUACUAGGAAGAUUAUCCUGACAUGGGAGUUUUUUUAGGAACAGGAGAGUCGCACACAUAUGAAGUAUAGAAAUUUAUCCUUAAUGUGCUAGGCUUAAUGCAACUAGAUAAAUGUUCAACAAGGCAUAUUGAUGUGUUAAAUUGUUUUCAGUUUCAGAUGUCAAUACAAGAAAGGUAACCUUGUGUUAGAUCUUCAAUCCAAAGGAGAAAUUGGUGCAUCGGGACAUUUAAACUGAACCUAAAUUAAGGUAAUAAUAUAUGUAAAGUAUGUUAUUUUCUGUUGUUCUAAAGCCCCAUUGUUUUGGUUCAUUUUAGAAAAACAGGGCCACUCUCAGGUUCCAUUUUGAUUGAACUUAAACUGCAUACAUAGUUAACACCAUUGAGACAGACUGAGUAGCUAACCACUUAUAAGGUUUUCCAGAAAAGAAUGAUGAAAUAAAAGGGGACACCAUCGAGACAAACUGAGUAGCUAUCUCGAAGUCUUGUGAAUGGAAGGAAAUUGGGAUAUUUGCUAAUUCUGUACUAGUCAAAACGUAUGUGUGUAGAUAUUCUGAUCAUUCUGGUUCAUGUCCUACUUAAUUAAGGUCUUCGUUUAUAGGCCUUGCGCAAAUGAUAUGAUUAUUUAACAACUUAGUUUCAUGGUGUUGGAUCUCACGUGAAUAAACUAUAUGUCGAAGUGUUUGCUGUUCUUUGCUUAACUAGAUAUCAAAGUAUAAACAACAAGCUCGUAUACAAUAUGUCAAAUUAUAAUCAAAUAACAAGCUCGUGUUCUUUGCUUAAUAAUGAUAAGAGCUUUACAAUUAACAAGCUCCAGUACAAAGAUGUCAAAGUUUUAAUAUAAAUUGUACCAACUUAUAAUGGUGGAUUCUAAUUAUAGUGGACUAGAUAAGCGGCCUUCGGUGACAUUUUGAGCUCUUGUCUGUUGUCUUCAACUGAUAGUGUAUAGCAGCCAACAAUGUGAAUUUAUGAUGGUUAUUUAGUUUAUUUUAUUGUACAUUCUGCAGAGCUUUCCUCAUUAAUUCAUUUUUUCACAAAAUUGGGAAGACUAUUGUAUUGCUGCGUAAACUGGAGCAAGGCCGUACCAUUUCCAUCUGACAAAACAUCCUGAAUGUCUUGUCUAGUUCUUACACUCUAACAAGGCCAUACAUAACGGUGUUGUAAGAUGAAAGUCUGGACAUGAUUUAGCUUUUAAACUUACAGUAUACUGCUCUUACAAUGUUGUAAGAUUUGAAGGUCGAAGAUACUACACUUCGGUUGAUCUUUACUUGCAAUCUAAUUUGCAUGUUGGUGUGUGUUCUUCAGGAAUCAUGAUACUACUUUAUGAUCUGAUUGGUGAAAGAGGUUGAAAAUGUUCCUGUAAGAUUCGUCAAGAUACCUUGCCUUAACCAUAUGCCGUGAGCUCACGCAGAACUUAUAGGCUUUACUCUUUGUGGUUGUUUCAUCUUGUACUGCUCAAAUGUCUAGAAACUACAGAUGCUAAAUUAUGAGGGAAGUCUUCAUAUGUUUUUUUCGAGAGUACGCCUAGGCGUACCAUAUUUUUAUAGAAGGCAGAAAUAUUGUACAAGAAA